GCUAGUUGUAUUAUUAGUUAAUGCAAGAUCGACUACGUCGACUAAAGUUCUAGGUAGAAUAAUGAUGAUGACAAUUUUUUACCUAUAUGUCUUGACCAAGUCUCGUGCCAGCAGUCGCGGUAAUACGUGGAAGACUAGUGUUAUUCAUCUUUAUUAGGUUUAAAGGGUACCUAGACGGUAUUUCUAGCCCAAAAUAGGGUACGGAUUUACUAGAGUUUUAUGUGAGGAGGGGAGUACUCGUGGAGUAGAGAUGAAAUUUUGUUAUACUAUGAGGUAACUGGUGGCGGCGAAAGCAACCUUCUAUGUAUAAACUGACGUUGAGGGACGAAGGCUUGGGUAGCAAAUAGGAUUAGAUACCCUAGUAGUCCAAGCAGACAAUUCUGAAUGCCAUAGAUUAGAUUAUUUUUGAUCUAUAAAUGAAAGUGUAAGCAUUCCACCUUAGGAGUAAUGUGGCAACACAGGAACUGAAAUCAUUAGACCGUUUCUGAAACCAGUAGUGAAGUAUGUUAUUUAAUUUGAUGGUCCACAAAAAACCUUACCACAACUUGAAUAUUUUUUAAUUAAUACAAGCGUUGCACGGCUGUCUUCAGUUAAUGUCGUGAGAUUUUGGUUAACUCCAUUAAUUAACGUAAACCCUUACUUUAUUUAUUUUUUUUAU
rnacentral:rRNA from 1 species